UACGGGGGGGGCAAGCGUUGUUCGGAAUUACUGGGCGUAAAGGGCUCGUAGGCGGCCAACUAAGUCAGACGUGAAAUCCCUCGGCUUAACCGGGGAACUGCGUCUGAUACUGGAUGGCUUGAGUUCGGGAGAGGGAUGUGGAAUUCCAGGUGUAGCGGUGAAAUGCGUAGAUAUCUGGAGGAACACCGGUGGCGAAGGCGGCAUCCUGGACCGACACUGACGCUGAUGAGCGAAAGCCAGGGGAGCAAACGG
rnacentral:rRNA from 1 species